rnacentral:lncRNA from 1 species
UGGCACCUUAGCAAAUUGAUUCAAUCAAUUGUCAAGGUAAACCUUUAAGGUGAGUGUAAGCAUCCCUGUUUUAAUGAUAAGAAAGCUUGGGUUCAGGAGGCUAUUCUCAUUUACUCCCACAGGAGGACUGGGCCAUCCAUCCUGCUGUCCCCAGCAGAGGGCGCUGCUUGCUAAUACAUCUGCCCAGCAACAUGGGAAGCAUCCUGGACCCCCUGCAUCUGAGUGGACACAAUGUCCUGAGGGAAGGCCUGGUGGAUCCCUCCUAGGAUUUGGAGUCUGACAUGUGACUUCUCUCUAAGCCUCUGUUAUUACCACACAGGCAGGGAUGGGUGCAGGCUCGGAAAACCAGGAUGGGCAGGUUUUGAGCUUGGAUCUUUGCCAGAGCCAACCUUCUUACACCCCGUGAGUCAGUUAGCACAUGGCUCUCACCAUGCCUGGCAGAGGACUGUGGUGGGGACAGUGAAGCUCAGGAAGUCUGGAUGAAGCUGCUGGGGAUCCUACUGGGAGAGAGAGUGAAGUCCACUGAAGGGUGAUGUUUGCUCUCCCCCAGGUUAUGGGUCCUACUCAGGGAAGAGAGAGGCCAGGUCCCAUUGAAACUGCUCUGUGGUCCCAUUGAAACUCUCCUGUGAGGGGGCACAGGACACUUCUGGAGACCCCUGACACCAGGGACAAUUAAGAGGACAUUCCUGUCCUGGUACCCAGCCUGCAUUUGUACCACUCGGGGCUUGGGUUGACUGGGAUCAUCUAGUGCUCAUGAUGGCUCUCUGGCUUCUGUCCCCAGUGGCCCAGAUACACAGGAAGAAGUAUACAGGAUCCUUGAGCAGACCUAUCUCUUCCAUAACUGAGCUUCCACUGCCCUAGCUGCCACCUAGUGCCCAGGUCAUGGCAAGUGAAUGUGGUCUCAUUAAAUAUAAAUAGCGGGGGAGAGGUGGCACAUGACUAUAAUCCCAGUGACUUGGGAGGCUGAGAUAGGAAGAUUGCACAUUUGUGGCAAGUCUGGGCAUCCUAGUGAGACCCUGUCUCCAAAAAGAAAAAUAAAAAAGGCUUGGGGAUGUAGCUCAGUGGUAGAGUCUCCCUGGGUUCAACCUUCAGUAUCACAAAACAAAUCUGCUGUCAACAAAUUAAAAGUUUUUUUUCUGGUGCAUUAUAAU